AGAUAUCAACAUUUAUCCAUAUAUAGCCAUAAAAAAACCGCCAAAUAUUACAAAUUCAGACCCGAUGUGGAGACUUAGAAUUGGUGGGUUUCGUUAAAGCGUUGGGAGUUAUUCCUCUGGUGUAUGGAGUAGUAAUCUGUACAAUUGCAGUCCUUGGUUUUGUUAACACAUAUUAUAAUUCAAGAUGUUUGACAAUGAUGGUAUGUAUUUGUUUAAAUUGUUGAUUAUUUUAUUAGAGACUGCUAAAGUAAGCUGUAAACAUGACAUUUACAGAUGAGUAUAGUUUUUUCUGCACCAAAUGCACAUGUCAACAAGAAAUGUCUCUUCAGUGAUGCUGGAGACUAAAAUGUAAUACUUAAAAAGUUUAUAAAUAAAAAAUGACAUAUAUUGAAGCCAAAGCCAGGCCAUUCAAUGUGUUGCAUGAGGGAGAUUUAUUCCUUAAGUUUUAUGCAAGCAAUUAAUGUGAAAAUGUUAGGAAAAUCUUAUUACGAAUAAUUAUCUGAAUAGUUCGCAAUACAAAAAACAAGUAAAACUUAUUUAUGACAACAGUUGACAAAACACUUACCGUUUAUUAAGAUAUAAAAGGGCGGAAUGAUAUUGUGAGAAAAUCCAACAAUCAAAACUUUUGACAUAAUUUAUUCGGUAACAAUAAACGAAAAUUAUAUAAGGCACGCAAUCCUGUUUGUGCAUAUAUGUUUUCGUGUCUGAGGAAAAUACAGUAAUGAAACACAUGGUCGAUAGCAGUAACAUUUGAAACGUUGAGAAAGUAGAUUUCUAAUAUGAAUGCAUUUUUUUUCUUAACAGAAAGGUUAUCACUGUACUGCAUCAAGAUGCAUUUUCAACAAUUAAUCUCUCUUCAGUGACUCUCGAGGCAAAACAAAUUUGAAAUUUGAAAACUUUCAAAAAACUCGAAGUGCUGAACCAAAUAGGACCAUAAGUAUAUACAACAAAAUCGACCAAGAUUUUGAAACUAUACAUGAGGGGUUUCAGUCCUGAAGUUAGAAUAAUUUCCAAAAACAAGAUCCAUAUUUAAAAAUAGGUAAAGCUAGUACGUUACUGGGUUGGUGAAACCCUCGGAAACUAACAAUAUCACAGCAGAGGCAUGAACCUAGUGGUAAAAGCAAAAUUUAUAAAUCGUUCUAAAUUAAUUGUACCAAAAAAUAGAAAGUUGAAUAUCCAAAUUCAUACAUGGAUUGAAAGCUACGAAUAAGGGAGAUAUAUCACCUUACUUUUGAAGAAUUAACAAAGUUGUAUUACCACAAUUCCAUUUAACACUGUUAGAUUCGAUGGAAAUCUUUGUGUUGACAUUUGUCUCUAUAUAAUACCAACUAUAUUUUUUUAUGAAUAAGAAUUUGUACCUACUUUCACUCUUAUCUGAAAACACUUGUUUGUAUUGUCAGACAUGUCACUAAAAAAAUAAAAGCUAUAAUUGUUUGUUACAGUAUGUGGUAGCUCUGAGUAUACUGAUGGUAACACAGAUCAUUGGAGUUGUGCUUUUUUCCUCUUUUCAAACUGUCGUACGUAUUUAUGAUGUUAAUGGAGUUUGUCGACGCUGUUUUACUCACAUUAAAAACAUUCUUAGAUAAUUCAAUAAAACUACUUUUGUGAAAACAAUUUGUACAAAACGGUUUUACGUGGUUGAAAUGGCACCGUUAAUUUUAAACUUAAAUUUUAAUCGUUGAUUUUGUUGGCAUCAUAACUAAAAAAAGGAUUUAUUAUUUGAUCAAUUAUUCUGUUUCCUUUUUUUAACCUAUUUGAAGACUUACUUUACUUUACUUCCAGCUGAACAAAGGCGUUUAUUUGUACUUCCAUAAAAAUUUAGAUGAAUCUUAUCGAGGUUUCAGAUCCAACGAUUCUGUCAGUACUGCAUGGAACCUUGUCAUGCAACAGGUAUUCAUAUUCAUUGUAAUCAUUGUAUGAAAUUAAUAACCCGCAAGGGUCCAUAAUUGGAUUAUUUCGGUGUCUAUAUGCACUUGUUUUCUAUAUAUAUUCUAUUUCUAUUUAUAUUCUUUAUAAUUUUGUACGUUACUAUGUGAUAUUAGAUACCAAAUGUUACAUGGCUUUCAACUUUGAAAUUUUGAAAACUAACGGCUUAAUUUAUGUACAUAAUAUAAGCCUUUCGAAAAUGUUUAGUAUGUUUGCUUUUAUCAUGAAUGUUUUGUGCAUAAAGCUAAUCGAUGACGUCAUAUCAAUUUUUGAUUGUCGCCGUAACAACUUCUUAGAUUUUACCAUUUCUAUCAGAUAUUGAUAAGAAUCGUACGGUAAAACAGUAACAUAACACAUCUUGCUGUUUCAGUUCAAUUGUUGUGGAGUCAACGGAUAUACUGAUUUUAAAACGUUGCAUUCCUUCAGUGAGACAUGGGGAGAACCCUUCCACAGUUAUAUCAUGCAAAAUCCCAUUGAUUUUCCCUUGGCUUGCUGCAAUUCAAUAGAAAUUCAUGGAUGGCAAAUUCCAGGACCUUGUAACGCAACGGAUUACAUCAAUAAGAAGGUAAGAAGUUUAAUUUCAGUUAUAAUAAUAGAAUGCUGAAUACAGUUUAAAUGUAGUCCUGUCAAAAAAUAAGCUAUAGUACUUUAACAGUAGCUUCUUAACAUUCUAUAAUUGUUUACUUUUACCAAUUGUGACUUGGAUUGCGAGUUGUCUCAUUGGUACUCAUACCAAAUUUCUUAUAUCUAUUCUAAUAAUACAUCUCUUCUUUUGACGAGGGAAACAACAACAUAUUGAGAAGUUUAUUGUUAUAAAUAUAAAGAAAUGUUGCUUGUUUAUUUCUUGUGUGUUAAAGCUAAUAAUGUCAAAGGUUCGUUGGACAAAUGUAAGUGUGUUGUGAUUAUUGGUAUUUUUAUCGAAUUCAAUUGUCAACACCUGAUUCCGUUAUUAGUAAGUUAAAGCAAAGUGAUUUACACACAGUACGAUAUUACAUUGACAUUUACCGAUGAACAAAAACACAAAAAUUUCAACACGAACUGCCGUUGACAUAUUAUACGGUAAUCAAUAAGCACGGACGCAAAAAAAACUGGACAGAAAAUACGGUUAAGCUAACUAUAAAACCACGUUUAAACCACCAUAUUCUUCGAAGGGAAAUUCCCGUACGAAGACAGGUACAUGACAAUUGUUAUCAAUUCGUUUGAUUUGUUUAAGUUUUUGAUUUUGUUAUUUAAUUAAAUACUUUAGUUUGAUUUUUUUCGGAGUAUUUUUGAUAUCUUAUUUUUUUUGUACCAAGCAUGACAAUAGUAUAUCCAUUAAAACAUAGUAAUAGAAGCUAAAACAGAAAAUCACCUUGCAUGUAGUUGUAUUGACUUCUUUUAUCAACCGUUUUUUUUAAAGAUAUAUUGCUUAUUAUUCUUGAAAACGUACAUAAAUUUCCAAUACGAAUUAUCUGAAAUAGUCGACAAAUAUCCAGUAGUAAACAAAGUAUGCGUUUUCAAGACAAAAAAAAAAUACAAAUGCAUAAAUUUUACCUAUAUAUUAGCCCGAUUCAUUGUCUUCAAUUGAUAUGUGAAUGCAUUAUAUAUAAAGUCAUUAAAGAUACCAGGAUUACAAUUUUGAAUUUGGCCCAGACGAGCUUUUAGUCCACAAAAGACUCAUUAGUGACGCUUGAAACAAAAAAAAAUAUUGUAAAGGCAAAACAAAGUACGAAGUUGAAGAGCAUUGAGAACCAACAAUUCCUAAAAGUUUUGCCGAAUACAGCUGAGGAAUUCUUUAUAAUCAUUGGGUUUUUUUAAAAGGCAUCCCAUUGAGUACUUCAAAAGACAAUCAACAUCUCAUCUCAAAUAUUCCCCUUGAUUUCAGCUUGUGGUAUGUACCUUUGAAAACCCAAAACCACAAUCAAUUAAGUCUGACCUAAUUGACCUGACUAGAGUGGUCUACUUUGUGGUUCUUGUGAACUUCAUUGAUCAUGUGAUCUUUUGUAUGAUUUCUUAUUCUUGAUACUUCUUUGAUAGAAGGCAAAUGUAUCAUCGUAAUGCAUAUAGUUUGCAUAAAUAAUAAUGUAACUCCAAUCCUUGAAUCCAGCUUUUCUCUAAUUAAGUAAAUGACUCAUAUGUUCAGAAUAAAAUUCUGCGUACAAAUGGACAUCACAUGUUUCAUUAUAUAUCAACAUAUUUUCUGGUUUUGGGUCAUUUGUUUUUCUACAUGUUAACCUUUCAUUUGAAUAACUGUGCAAAAGUGAAUACUUCCGCGGGCCAACAGUCCUUCGCGUUAACAGUGGAAUAUGGUUACCAUUUUACUUUAGCCCUGAAUUAUCGCAUAUUAGCAUGAUAAGCGAUACUUUAGUUUAACUGUGUCGUAUUUUGUCGUUCCCAUCGCACUUUGAAGUUUUUCUUAUAAAUAAUCCUUUUGUCAAUUGUAUCAGUAAUGCAAACAAUGCGCGCAUUGAAAUUAGAAACAAUAAUGUAAACGCACAUAUUCAACCAACAUAGACAUACAAGUAUACACUGAAUAAAUAGGAACAAACGGAACUUAACCAUCAGUUUAACUAAAGAAAAUUAAAUCCUGACAUAGAUAUUAUCAUGUGGAAGUUUUUAAUCUGUCAUUUAUGCAUUUUCCCCAUUUGUCGAUUUUCGUUGCAGGGUUGUGUGGAUUUGUUUUGGGAGACAGCAGAUGUAUACCAACCUUAUGUCGUAGCUAUUGU
rnacentral:lncRNA from 1 species